CUUGAGUCUCCACUGCCCCUAUCACUACCACGCCCCCACAUGCACAAGGGACGAGGCACUGCGGUGAACUACCAAGAAGGCAACUUUACACGGCCAGCACAUAUAUGUAUAUGUUUUUUGUGGUCAAUGUACACUAGCGGGCCUUUUCAAAAGAAAUUGCGGCCGAGUGCGCCGGCUGCCACCACAGCGCGAACAAGCUCCUCCGCCAAGAAUGUGUCGACCCUUCCCCUCCUCAGUGGAGCCGGCGACACCUCGACAACUUCGCCGCCGCCGCCUCAGACUGCCUCCUUGAAGAGCUUGCGGCAAUGCGAAAGCUCGUCGUCGCUCUCGCCCAUACGAACACACGCAGCGUUGAUGCCCCUGUCACCGGAAGAGGUUGCACGGGCUCGUCAUGUCGUCAUGGACCCGCUAGCUGCGCUGCGACGCUGCCUCCAGUACGUGUGUAGCCACCCCGAAGUCUAUGGCGAUGACGUGCGCGGUCUCCUCGACCGCGAGGUGAUGCAUGUCGUGCGCCUCAAAGCUUCGGAGGUGUCGCUCACGAACGGAGAACGACCGCUUCUCGUCGACCCACUGGAAAGUACCGGUGUCCGUCAAGCUGCUCGCGCUCUCACCGGAGUGCCAGCCCUGCCUACGAUCCCUGCUCAAGCGACCGUGAGCAACGGCGCUGUGCCGGGCAGUGUUUCCGCUGGCGACUUGUUUGGCUACGGCAGCGUCUCUUUCCUGCCUGCCUCCUCCGUCGGCUUUAGCGCACUGCUACAGGACUCGCGAGCUGAGUGGCCACGGGCAGAUCAGGCCGGUAGCUGUCGCUACUCGGACGGUAGAAAGACGUUUUUCGGCGGCUUUCCAUCCAUGUCAUCGUCUCCUGCGGUUCCGCAUCUCUCGCAGGAUGAGAGCAUUCAGUGGAAUGAAACCCUGCCACCAUCCUGUACGCCAGCAAAUCGGCGCGGUAUCCGCAAUAUUGCGCUGGAAUCGGUAAGGAAUGAUGAAGCCGUGAAGAGCAGCGCCUUUUCUGAGGACAUCGCCAUGGACGGUGGCGCAACCUCCUCGGACGAGACUCGUCAAGCAUCGCCGCCCCUGCCGCAUGGCGGCGCGUGUGAGGUGCACGGCAGAUUCAACCCACAGGACCAAAUUGCUGCCCUUGACCUCCACGAGGGCACGCGAAAUAGCCUGUCCGCAGCGCCUCCCAGCGCCGUCUGCGCGGCAGACGGCACGGUGUUGUUGGUAGACCAGCAGGGGUACGAGGUGACGUACCUGCGCGCGCAGCUGCAGCAGCUGGAAGCCGCGUUCAACUCCAAGUGUGUGCGGCUGCACGAGCUGGAGGUGGAAAACCGGCAAUUAGCCGAGAAGAUGAAGACAUCGGAGGAGGCAACGGCUCGGUGGGCAGCGCAGCACCACGCCAUGAAAGGACAAGUGGAGGUGAUGCGGCGAGAACUUGAUGGCUGGAAAGACCGGGCCAACGACGCUGUGACAGCGGCGACAAGGAAGAACAAGCAGCAGAACCAGCGUGCAAAGCAGAUCGUUUAUAGCCAGCUUAGCGACGCGAAGCAGGAGAUCGUGCGGCUGGGUCAGCUGUGGCGCGAGACUGAGCGAGCCCUGCAGGAGACCCGCCGCGCCUUCGAGAACACAGAAAAGGAGGCCGUCGCUGCGCACAACCACCUCACCGACGUGUUUCAUUACCUAGAGCGACUGGAGCGGCGAAUCGCGCGUCGUGACGUUUACGUGUCCCUGUGCGAGCGGCGACAGCGGUCGCUGGAGGAGAAGUACGAGAAGCUGCGGUGGGGCUACGAAGAGCUUAGCACGCUAGACGGGCGUUACUCGUAUGUGGACUACAUGCUCACCACAAGGCCGUUGUGGUCCGUGUACAUGUUUGUGCGUCUUGCGCGGCACCAGGGAGACUACGUGGCACUCGAGAAUCCGAUGGAGGUGCAACAGCGUCUGCUCCUUAUGGUGGGGCAGGCAGAGAAGGGUCGAGAGGUAUCCCCAGAGGCCGCCGCCGCCACUCUGGCGGCCAUGGAGCCGUUGUACGGGUUGAUCUUCAGCCGGUCACCGCAGGGCGGCCGUCUCGUUGCACAGGAGUACGACUUCCGCCUCGUCUUCCGCACCAUGGUCGACGAAACGACAGCCGAUCUGAGUCGCCGCGGCCGAUCGAAGCAGCUGCGCACCACCCUGCAAGGGUCGGUGGCGUGCCGUGUCAUCCGAUGGCACGAGCGCUACAGCAUCGACUACCUCAGAGGCCAGGACGACGACCCGGAGAGUGCGGAACUGCACCGCAAGUGUGUGCCGCUCCUGACUCUUGCCUCUGUGCUGCUGCCGCUACGCUCGCGCACCGGGGCGAUCCUGAUGCAAUCGCCGCCCGUGGAGGCAGCAGCUCCCUCAGCGGAAGUGACGGACUCCACGGCGGCAGAGCCGGCGUCCACAGCGGAGGAGGAGCGUGUGCACACUCUCCUCUCCACGACCUCAAACAAGCGCCACUACAACGAGGGUACCAUUCGCUUUGUGCUCCGCUGCUUCUGGAAAGAGCGACUGUCAGCCUUUUCGCAGCAGAUGAACGCGCGUGUGAACGCUGUCAACGCGAAGCGGACAAGCAAGCGGGAACUUGAGGGCACCGAGCAAAAUGGAAAGACCGAGAACAGGCUCUCGCCAACCGGUGAAUGCUUGCCCGCCGUGUACGAGAAUAGCGACCGCGCCGAUGAGAGCGACGAUGACGAAGACGACGUCGGCGUGAAUCAAACAUUCCUGGCGGCUCUCGUCGACUUCUCGACGCGCUUCGCCUCGCAGCAAGCGGGCUCGGGGAUCGCGGCGCACACGAAGCCUGGGGUGCCACCUAGCAAGGCAACCCUUUUAAAUGUGCGUGGCGUGCUCACCCGCGGGGCAUCCGACGCGAAACUUGGCGGCAGGGUCGCGGCCAACAUCCCCUCUCCCGGCUCAAAGGCAGCACUAGACUCGGUGUGGGACAGUGGACGCAUCUUCUUCGCUGUGGUGCUACAGCCUGGCAGAUCCGCGGCGACGAAGCAGGACGCGGCCUCGCCGACGAGUGAAACGCCGACCCCAGAGGAGGUGAGCAUUCUUGCUGAAGAGGCGCGCGAGAUGCUGGCGGCGCUCUACUACUACACGCUGGAGUACAAAGACUUGGACCCGGACUUCCGCCUCUUUUACCUCGUCGCGCAUCAGAUGGUUCCGGAGAUGGUGGCGGUGAACUUCUUUGCAGGUCUCGAGGCCUUUCAGCUUGAGAGCGUGGCGCUGUUGGAGUGGCGGCUGCAGUGCCUUUCGGCUGGCAUGCACAGCGGUGCGACUUGCACAGCCGCCGGGCAGCCGUCCAGCUCACCCGCCAUGCCGAAGAAGGUGGAGGACCCGCUGAUGGCGCUCACCCGUGUCGUUGACGUGAUUGACGAUGCUUUGCUGGACGGCGAGGAAGAAGAUAUUGAGACGGACAGCGACGGUGAUGGCUACGGGAGCAUCUUGCCCUUUCACGCACGUGCGGAGACACAGGUGCACCCCUCCACAGCCUCGUCCGCGACGACGGGGCAGCGACAGGAGGGGAGGAUGGAGGACUCCUGCACGGCAGAGACGCACUCUUCCGCGCUGCCAGUGUCGCAGCGCACCCGCGAGUUGCGGCUUCUGCACAACAUCCGCGCCUACCUGCUCGAGCGGCGGGGGUUUAUGCAAGGCGAACAGGGCGCGGAGCGUGGCGACGGCGAUGCGGGAGUGGGUGACAAUGCGGAGAACCCCACAGGGGCUCGUCUCGCCGCCUUCUCGUUUGGUGAGGCGCCGCCGGAGUGGACGGCGCUGGAAGAGCGGGUGCUGAACAUUCUCGGUCCGCACACACAGCUGCUGGAUACGUUCCGCCACCAGUACCGGAAGCAGAAGGGCGAAGAUGUUGCGCAAGCCAAGGGGAAGCCGAUGAAGCCUGGAAAGGAGCUCGACCACCUCCGCAGGCGCCGAUCAGAGCGCAAGAGUCGUCACGAGACAGCCAAGUAUCUGAGCGCGACGCGAGGCUUUCUGGCGGAAGAGGAUGUUCUCGCGUUGGUGCAGCGCCACUGCCUUGCCACGUACGCCGUCUCGUGCUGCGGUACGCCCCGUUUUUCCCUUCUUCGCUCCUUAUUCGGUCGUAGCAGCGACCGGGGCCGCGACUCCUCCUCCGUACUCGACCCGUACGCGAUUGUUGGGCAUCUGCCUCUCACCGGGCUUCACUUGCAACGGCUGCGCUUCGCGCUGUCGCUGGAUCAGCCCUCUCAUCUAAUCCGGCCUUCUGCCCUCUUCAGUGUGGACCCGGUAACCAAGUCGAACAGCCACUUCUAUGAUGCCUACCUCACCAUUGUGCUCGACGUGUUUGAACAGCAGCAAUCCUUCCUCAUGCAUAGUGUGCUGCGCUGCUGUGCCGCACGCCAUGAGUUGUAUGCGGCCGAAGGCGCUGAAGAUUGUGACGGGCUGAUCCCGAUAGCGUGUCUCAAGAAGGGCCUGACGGAUGCCUUUUCGACCAUCAGCGGCACAUCGCAGCACGCGCUAGCCGUGCUGAACCAUUUGGUGCGGUACGAUGAACUGCUUCGCCUUGAGGAUGAGGUGAGGUUUGAGCAAUUCACCGACGCGCCACUGCUGCUGAACGUGCCGCCGUGUCACGGGAGAGGUUGCUUCACGGCUGACGGAGAAGGCAGCGUGAAGCAGGGCCCCGGCAACGCGGCGGACCAGGGAAAAUGGAACCUGCGCGAGGAGGCGGACAGCUGCUCGCUGCUGAACAUCGCCUUCGCUCUCCGCAUGAGCUACAUUGUGUGGGGCGAGGUGAGCGCCGGCACCGCCGAGGCGCUUGUCCACCGUAUCGUCAAGCUCGCGGUCCCCGUGUGCUGCUCCGAUGCCGUCCCAGGUGAUGCAGUGUGGGCGGUGCGGGCGGCGGCAGUGAACAAGGACGCCACCGUAGUGGAGGAGUUUCCCGAGUGGGACAUCUUCGACCGAAUCACGCGGCAACAGUACGCCCGAGCACUGAUGCGGAUGCAAAAGGGUCACAACGGCGACGCUAACCCGCUGCGUCGCACUCUCUCAGCAUUGCAAACGGAGCUUCUGCAACCGGCAUCGAUACUCAGCAGCCGGGCAAGGGUUGGUGCGAGCAUGUCUCUCUCGCCGGGAGCCGUCGACGUUGACGCUCUGUACCCCGACGUCGCAAGCGUGUGGACAACAAAGAAGGUGCUUGCCGAAGCCCAGAAGCACAUGGAAAGGGCUGCAGCUGCCGUUCCCGCCAAGGGCGCGGGAGGGUCUGGCAAAGGUAGAAAGAAGCGCCACUUAUCGCAGCCGCGCAAGUCUCUCUCCAGCGUGCAGACAGCCGCGAACGGCAAUGGCAGUGCAGGCGAGGGAGAGCAGUUGCCGGACUAUGGGCUGCUGAGCCUCGUGCGUGCACUCGGCUUUGCGCCGCCAUUGUCGACGAGCGUGCCUGGAGUCGGCGGCGCCGCGGCGAACAAGAAGGGUGGAGGCAGGAAGAGCGCUAAGAAAAGCGGUGCCUCAAAGAGCAGAGCCUGUCCAGAGACUACCAUUCCAGCGUAUCUGCAGCAAGAGUACAGCGAGAACUUGUCUGUGCAGCUGCAGGACCUCGCUGCGCGCGUCGCUGCGUUGACGCCGUCCGAUUUGAACAGGUUCCCUGAGGACAUGUCAGUCGAUGGGGACGUCGGCGUCAACAUGGAAGGAGCAACUCCAUCGGCGAAUAGUUUAUCCGUGUCAAAUCGAUCCGGUGACGCGCCGACGCCGGGGAGCGGGCCGUCGCGGGUGCAGUCUGUCAGCUUUGCUCGAGGAUCGCUGCAGAGCACUUCACAGAGCAAACUUCACAAGAAGGUCACCGUUGAGACGCCUCUCGAUGGGAAACGAGAUUCCUCGGAACCCCAUGCGCUGGCGCCGACGUGGGUACCGUUGUUCCCAGGCUCUUCCUCAGCGUUGGACAACGUAGGCGCGCCUCUGUCGAGUAGCAUGCCGAUGGAUGUGUCCAAGCUCUACGCUAUUUGCGCCGCACUGAGUAUGACCUAGUCGUCUCCUAGGACGAUUCUGUGCCCUCCCCCUUUCCACUCCGCUUCCUCUUCCUCCUGUUGCCGUUUAUCGCAUAACCAAAUCGCACGGGCAG
rnacentral:misc_RNA from 1 species